UAUAGCAGAUAGCGAAUAGUAGAAUGACAAGAAAAAGUUGUUUUACUGAUUAAAUUACUUCUACCACGACUAAAAGUUGAAGUUAAAGUUAUUGAGGACAGAGGUUCUGUAUGUUCGUAUAGUAGAGGGCUACGGAGCUACGGAGGACCAGACUUUGGUGUUUUUGAUGAUUAUUCUCAGCUUGGCCGUAUUCUCUGCAGAUGGUAAAUCUUACCCAGUGCAGGUGCUGGUGUAAAGGCCAGGGAUCAACAAAAUAAUCAAGGAUCAUCUUCUUUGGACGCAUUAAAGGGGUGGGAACCUCAGCUGCAUGGGGACACAGCCAGGAAGGAAAAUCACAGACAUUUUAGCCCCUAAAAUGACGGCAGGAUGGAGGAAAAGGGAGGAAAAGAAAUAGGAGUGGACAGAGGGGGGUCCGGAGGAGGCUGAGAGAGAGGAGAUUGACAACGGAGGAAGGAAGGCAAAGUGAUGUUUUUAAGGGGUCACAAAAAAUUACAGAUGUGAAUUGAAGAGCAGAUUAUAGGAGUGAAGUGGAGUAAGAAUAUUUUAUGUUGUCUUUUUCCAGAUUGAAAUAUGUUUUAGUCAAAAUUAGCUGCAUAUUAGAACAGAGCAAUCAUUCUUUUGCAGGUAUUUUCAGGUGUAUCUGUACUAGUGAGGACACGGUGUGACUGUACUGGUCUCGGCUUAUCCGUUAGCCCUCUAGGAAAUAUUAAAAUUGAGUACAUUAACAUAUCAAAGGUCAGACACGGGGGCAGCCAGCCUCCCAGGUGCUGUGACAAUUUACAGCCCCAGUUGAUCUAUGGCCUGACCCAACCUCAAACCAAAUCCCAGCUGCUGAUCUGUUGGCCUCCAGAUCAGAACGCCUGUCAACACGAGAGCCUCAUUUACAUUUAAAGUGCGCUCUCUCCUCCCGUUGUUUAGCCCAUAUUCAUCAAGAGUGACUGCUAGUGACUGCAGCAGCAGAAUACAGGCAUUUAUAAUGUUAUAUACAAAAAAGGCAGUCACCUUUAUACAGCUCAGUAGUCGACAGUGAAUACACAUUUGGUGAUUUAAAAAAACAAAAUAUAUAACUGUUGUUAGGCUCAAUUGUUUAUAAAUUGUCAAUUUGUCUGUGUUAGUGAAAGUUAGGAGUAGGAAAUAUAAAUAAAAUCUUCCAUGAUGGUAUGAGUAAUUUUAUAAUGUGAUAUCUAUAUACAAAUUAUAUGGAGAAACUCUAUGCAAACAUCAUAAAAAUAGAGUUUUCUAAUUAUUUUCCGUACAGCUGCUCUGUUUAUUGAUGCCCAGCAGAUACUGAGGAAAUAGACACCUGCUGGGUCUAAACAUUAUGGGUCAUUGUCUAUCAAAUAUGUAGAGUGCCCUCUGGUGGCGGUUUGAUAUAUUGCAUAUUUAACUGUGCUUGUGUUAUACUGGCAUUGGCAGUUAUUUUACCUCACUUGUAACAAGUGACUUUUAUUUUAAUAUAACUUUACUGUGUUCAUUUUUAUUUUCCAUUUCAGAUAACACAUAUUCACACCCGUACGUAAACUCAAAUAUACCAACAUGCUGGACUUACUCAUGUCCUCAACCGUCUGUGGAGGUGAUUAAAGAGACUGAACUUAAUCUUGAGAUUGUCAGCAUAUACAGAAGGAUUCGGUUGAUUUGUCAUUACUAGGACAACAGUCUUACUUGUUACUGAAAGACUAUGUUAUCACAGUUUCUCUUUGCCAAUGUAGUUCUCACUUGUCUUACUGCAUUUAUCCUCGUAAAUGCAUUGUGUUUUUAAGGGUGGAGGAUUUUGCAGUGUUUGAGUGUUGGACCAGCUGUUCAACCAGUGACUAUCUGGCCCCUUUUUUCAUGUCUAUGUUGUCCAAUUUUGUCUUGAAGACAUAUUUAUAACUUAGACUUUCAACAACUAUCAUUGAAAUCUGUCCAGUUUUAUGAUAUCCAGCUAACUUACAGAGCUAAAAACAUAACAUCUGCAGUGAAAUUAGUGACAUACCAACACUUAAAAAAAUGUUUUGCCCCAAAAUAAUAGACAAGAAGUCAGACCUUCAAUAAUUAGAAGAUAAUUUAGACUAAUUAUGAAUUAGAACAUAAUUAUGUUUUCAAUAAUACUGAAAGAUUUCAUGAGAUUUAUUUCAUCAACCCCCCCGAAAUGCAUCAAUCUGAAUAAUCAAGUUUUUAGUUGUUAGGCUCAUAAGCUUCAAAGUUAUUAAAAUGUAGUUUUCCACAGGUAUUGUAGAUAUUGAUCAUUUGUCCACCUUCUACAUGCAUUAAUAAUAAAAAAACAGUAAAUUA